GUGAUAUUUUUAUUUAUUUUAUUUUUUUAUUUAUAUUUAUUAUUU
rnacentral:ribozyme from 1 species